UACGGAGGGAGCUAGCGUUGUUCGGAAUUACUGGGCGUAAAGCGCGUGUAGGCGGCCAUCUAAGUCGGGCGUGAAAUCCCACGGCUCAACCGUGGAAGUGCACUCGAAACUGGAUGACUAGAGUCCUGGAGAGGAAGGUGGAAUGCUUGGUGUAGAGGUGAAAUUCGUAGAUAUCAAGCGGAACACCGGUGGCGAAGGCGGCCUUCUGGACAGUGACUGACGCUGAGACGCGAAAGCGUGGGGAGCAAACAGG
rnacentral:rRNA from 1 species